UCUAAGCUUCAAACUGGGAUUAGAUACCCCACUAUUUUUAGUUGUAAAUUUAGUUUAGACUUACCGGAGUACUACGAAUAAAAAGUUUAAAACUCAAAGGGCUUGGCGGUGUUUUAGACCUCUCAGGGGAACCUGUCUCGUAAUCGACAAUCCGCGUUAAACCUAACCUUUUAUAGCAAUACAGCCUGUAUACCGUCGUCGUCAGGUAACUUCUUAAAAUAUAGCAGUUAGCCCGAGAAUCAGAUUAAUUAAAACGUCAGAUCAAGGUGCAGCUAAUAAAAAGGUGAGGAUGGGUUACAAUUACAUAUUUGUAAUUACGGAAAAAUACUUGAAAUGAGGUAUUUUAAAGGAGGACUUGAAAGUAAUUUUAAUAAUAUAAAUAGAAUGAAUAAGGCUCUGAAACGUGCACACACCGCCCGUCACCCUCUGCAGUCAAAA
rnacentral:rRNA from 1 species